GCGGCAUCCUGCAUAUUUGGUGUGAGCAUGGUUUAAAUCUCUGCUCAUACCACUGCUCCUAUAAGUCAGCUGGGGCCAAUUUUAGUGGCCCCAGACUGACCAAUGAAUGCAUUGCUGGAACUUAGUACUGUAUUCAUAAAACUGCAGCCGAGCGCAAUUGCACUCAGCCGUAUUUUUCUGGGGUGCAGGCAACUUUGGGGAGACCUUCCAGGGUCUUCCAGUGUGUUCACAGCCAAUUGGGACUGGGUCUUUGCCAGCUUCCCAGCACCGAUCUCUAUAUAAUUGUCCGGGAACCAGGCUUCAUUCAAUAGUAA